ensembl:lncRNA
GCAAAGAAACAUGAAUGAUGCCAAGAAAUACACUUGUCAAGCCACCACCGCCACCACCCUCCCCUACGCGAUCGUACCCACGAAAUGAAACAUCCUUUCAAGCGUGAAGAAUACAGAAUUGUACCACAGACCAAAUCUUAGGGAAAAAAAUUAUCCACGAUUCAUCUGGUGCUGAGUUAUCACAGUUAUAGUGAGAUAACUAUGUGUUUAAAACAGAACAGCAGCCCCCAAAAGGUCAUCUUCUGCUACACCCAGUGCCCCCUCCCACGUUCUAAUUUUUGCCACAGGCGCCAUCUUUAGUUCUGAGUCACCAGGGAUGGAAAAAUACUAGUCAAGUCAGUCCAGGACUCUUGCAUUUUCUGCAGUUGCAGUCACACUAAAACCUGUUGCUUCGUUUGUGUGAGCUACGAGCAAGAGGAGCAAGAAGACUGGUGUGAGUUGUCAUUUCCUUCUCCAGGAGAUUUUCCUGACCCAGGAAUGGAAUCCGCACUCCUGCAUUGGCAGGCAGAUUCUUUACCACUGAGCCACCUGGGAAGCUCUCUACAUGGAGGCAGGUUACCUGAGUUCACUGUCCCUGGAAAUGGACCAAACAGAUGGGCAAGCAAUGUGGUGAGUUUAAAGACACAUCUAUUCUCUGGGAAGGGGACAGGAGAGAGGAAGACAGGUAUAUUAGCUAUCCACUGCAGCAUAACAAAUUAUACCAACAUUUAGCAGCUGAAAACAGUCAUUUAUUAUCUCACUCCAUCCCUGAGACUCGGGAAUCGAGAAGGGUAUGGCUGAGUGGUUCUGGCUCAGAGUCUCUGAUGGAGUUGCAGUCAAGGCAGUCAACUGAGGCCACCAUCAUUUGAAGCCGGAACUGACACCACUUCUAAAAUGGCUUACUUAUACAGCAAUUGACUGGAGGCCUCAGGUCCUCACCCUUGAAACUCUCCUCAAACCAUGAAACUGGCUUCUCCCAGAGUGACUUGAGAGAGAGACGAAGACAGAAGCUGCAGGGUUUUGUUAUGACCUAGCCUUGGAAGUGAAGCAGUAUCACCUCCACUGCAAGUCACCAGAAAGUCACUACGUCCAUCCCACACUCAAAGUAAGGGAAAUUAAAUGCCACCUCUUGAAAGAUACAAUAUCAAAAAUGUAUGGGCAUGUUUUAAAAUAUAUACUGCUGCUGCCGCUAAGUCGCUUCAGUCGUGUCCGACUCUGUGCAACCCCAGAGAUGGCAGCCCACCAGGCUCCCCUAUCCCUGGGAUUGUCCAGGCAAGAACACUGGAGUGGGUUGCCAUUUCUUUCUCCAAUGCAUGAAAGUGAAAAUGAAAGUGAAGUUGCUCAGUCGUGUCCAACUCCCAGCGACCCCAUGGACUGCAGCCUACCAGGUUCCUCCGUCCAUGGGAUUCUCCAGGCAAGAGUACUGGAGUGGGGUGCCAUUGCCUUCUCCAAAAUAUAUACUAGUUAGUAUAAAAUAGAUAAACAACAAGGUACUACUGUAUAGCACAGGGAAUUAUAUCAGUGUCCUGUGGUAAGUGUGUGUGAGUUGCUCAGUCGUGUCUGACUCUUUGUGACCCCAUGGACUGUAGCCUGCCAUGUCUGCGGAAUUCUCCAGGCAAGUAUACUGGAGUGAGUUGCCAUUUCCGACUCCAAGGGAUCUUCCUGAACCAGUUAUCAAACCUGGGUGUCCUGCAUAUCCUGUGAUAAACCAUAUUGGAAAAGAAUAUGAAAAAGAAAGUAUAUAACUGAAUCACUUUGCUGUAUAGCAGAAAUUAAUGCAGCACUGUAAAUCAACUGUACUUCAGUAAAAUAAAUUUAAAAAAUUAAACA